rnacentral:rRNA from 1 species
UACGGGGGGAGCAAGCGUUGUUCGGAUUUACUGGGCGUAAAGGGCGCGUAGGCGGCCACCGCAAGUCAAUUGUGAAAUCUCCGGGCUUAACUCGGAAAGGUCAACUGAUACUGUGCGGCUAGAGUGCGGAAGGGGCAACUGGAAUUCUCGGUGUAGCGGUGAAAUGCGUAGAUAUCGAGAGGAACACCUGCGGCGAAGGCGGGUUGCUGGGCCGACACUGACGCUGAUGCGCGAAAGCCAGGGGAGCGAACGGG